rnacentral:tRNA from 1 species
CAAAAUGUAGUUUAAUUAAAACUUCUCGCUUACACCGAGAACAUAUUUGUGUGACCCAAAUCAUUUUGA